CAGUAUUUCAGUUGAAAAGUAAUCAUUCAAAUUUUUUAUUUAGAACUCGAAAGCAAAUGUUUGUUUUUCAGUUUUUGAAAAUUAUUUAACUUUUGUGUGUAUUGUAAUUGAAAAAAUUCCAAAUUCGAAAAAAGUACGAAAUGUUUGCGUCCGGUAGCAGAACGAAGAAUAUUAUUGUGCGCCAGUCCAUGACGCAUCGGCAACUACCCCUAUUAGCCACAGCAACACCAACAACAAUGACGCAACGAUCGGCGCGUCGUGUCAGCUCCACCGGUGACGAAACGCGAAUUGGCGCUACACUUAGCGGACGCCAGCUGUCACCACAAAUGCGUUCGAAAUUCACCGAACGCAAGCCGACCUCUUUAUCGGCCACAACAACAGCACAGGCGCGCAAUCAAUUGCAGACAAGCAGCUCUAACAACAGCAAUCACCCCACUCUAUACAAAACAAACGCUGCAGCGGCUGCUGGCAACGCACAAGGCGAUGGCCGAAAGGUGAUGCGCGGUAUACCGAGCAAUACAGCGGCGCGCGCCACCGCACGCCAGCGCAGGGAGGCAGCAGCUAAAGGUAUCGAUAAUACGGUAAAGAAAAUCGAUCUUAUGGAGCAGAUUAUAAAAACGGAGAUCGGUAUACAAACCAAUGAACCGGAAAUACUUAAUCAUGAUCUGAUUAUUGGCGAUAUAAAGUUGUUGCCGCCAACGGCUUGUGUGGUAGCAGAAAUCGAACGUCAGCGUAGUGAGAUAAAUAAAAAGCUUAUGUUGAAGGCACAACGCAAAUUUGAAGGUCAUUCGGAGAAGCAAGAGGAACAUUUGACCGACUUAAAGGAGUUCCUGGAGAAAUCGGUAGUCACCAGACGUUUACGCAAAUCCAAACUCUCCAUCGAAGUGGAUAAGAAGUAAGUGAGUGAGCGUGUGAUGACAAAGCUCAAGCACAACUUGGUAAAAAAUCUCUUGGCAAACAACCUUCUAGGUUUUUAUAAUUUUAGACUCAGAAUCUCUUUCAGGGAUAUAAGAACUGAUAUCAGCAUCCCGAAGGUACGCCAUAGAUAGGGAUAAGAAUAGGGGUUGCAGAAGUUCGCAACAAACCAUGCAGCGCUUAUGGUGUACACAUCUCUUUGUUGGCACGAAAUUUUGUUGACAAAAUCAUAUCUAUUAACUGGCGACCUAAUUUGACUUUUUCUAAGGACACUUCAUAGCGGAAUAGCAGAAAACUGUAAAGAUGUAGAGCUUGCAAAGCACUACGAGAGGACCGAAUUCAUUAUCCGUAAACUCAGCAACCCUAGGUGAGAUCCAUAUUUCUCUAGCGAUAAGGGUUCCCAUAGGUACACUGAUCCAUUCCGUAUUAACCAGAUAAACAAGAUAGCCGAUUUAAUAGGAAAACCAGUUCCUUUCUUCUUUGGAAUUAUACAUUUUUAUCAGGGACCACAACUUCGGUUUUUGAUAUCGAUAACAAUAUCGUGAUGAGAGUUUUUAGAAAUUUUAAAGCUGAUAAAUAUUUAUUUAUAAAAAUAAACAACAUGGCAAUAUCUUAAGUAGGAUCAAUUUGGAUGAAAAAAUUACAAAAAACAAAUGGUUUGUCCAGACUUUUAAAACAUCAAAAGCAUUUUUUGAGUAGUCUUUAAAGAAAACAACGAAACUACAUUUAUCGAUGAGGUCGUCAUGAUAUCUCAUAUUCUUAAAACUUGCCAGUCAAGAAUCUGUAGAUAAGGGUAGAAAUCGUCACGACGAAGACGAGGCCAUUCCUUCCCCCUCUACUUCAAAGUUUUUUUGUUUGAAAUUGAUUUUGUGUACCGCUGAAAUAUGAUUUAAAAAAUAUAUAAAAAUAAAAAUGAA